UACGUAGGUGGCAAGCGUUUGUUCGGAUUCAUUGGGCGUAAAGGGUGCGUAGGCGGCGCGGUAAGUCGGGUGUGAAAUCUCGGAGCUUAACUCCGAAACUGCAAUUCGAUACUGCCGUGCUUGAGUACUGCAGGGGAGACUGGAAUUCCUGGUGUAGCGGUGGAAUGCUGCCAGAUAGUCAGGAGGAACGAGCCGGUGGCCGAAGGCGGGUCUC
rnacentral:rRNA from 1 species